rnacentral:rRNA from 1 species
UGGGGAAUAUUGCACAAUGGGCGCAAGCCUGAUGCAGCCAUGCCGCGUGUGUGAAGAAGGCCUUCGGGUUGUAAAGCACUUUCAGCGAGGAGGAAGGUGGUGAACUUAAUACGUUNAUCAAUUGACGUUACUCGCAGAAGAAGCACCGGCUAACUCCGUGCCAGCAGCCGCGGUAAUACGGAGGGUGCAAGCGUUAAUCGGAAUUACUGGGCGUAAAGCGCACGCAGGCGGUUUGUUAAGUCAGAUGUGAAAUCCCCGGGCUCAACCUGGGAACNGCAUUUGAAACUGGCAAGCUAGAGUCUCGUAGAGGGGGGUAGAAUUCCAGGUGUAGCGGUGAAAUGCGUAGAGAUCUGGAGGAAUACCGGUGGCGAAGGCGGCCCCCUGGACGAAGACUGACGCUCA